AGAGUUUGAUCAUGGCUCAGAUUGAACGCUGGCGGCAGGCCUAACACAUGCAAGUCGAGCGGUAGCACAGAGAGCUUGCUCUCGGGUGACGAGCGGCGGACGGGUGAGUAAUGUCUGGGAAACUGCCUGAUGGAGGGGGAUAACUACUGGAAACGGUAGCUAAUACCGCAUAACGUCGCAAGACCAAAGUGGGGGACCUUCGGGCCUCAUGCCAUCAGAUGUGCCCAGAUGGGAUUAGCUAGUAGGUGGGGUAACGGCUCACCUAGGCGACGAUCCCUAGCUGGUCUGAGAGGAUGACCAGCCACACUGGAACUGAGACACGGUCCAGACUCCUACGGGAGGCAGCAGUGGGGAAUAUUGCACAAUGGGCGCAAGCCUGAUGCAGCCAUGCCGCGUGUGUGAAGAAGGCCUUCGGGUUGUAAAGCACUUUCAGCGGGGAGGAAGGCGUUAAGGUUAAUAACCUUGGCGAUUGACGUUACCCGCAGAAGAAGCACCGGCUAACUCCGUGCCAGCAGCCGCGGUAAUACGGAGGGUGCAAGCGUUAAUCGGAAUUACUGGCGUAAAGCGCACGCAGGCGGUCUGUCAAGUCGGAUGUGAAAUCCCCGGGCUCAACCUGGGAACUGCAUUCGAAACUGGCAGGCUAGAGUCUUGUAGAGGGGGGUAGAAUUCCAGGUGUAGCGGUGAAAUGCGUAGAGAUCUGGAGGAAUACCGGUGGCGAAGGCGGCCCCCUGGACAAAGACUGACGCUCAGGUGCGAAAGCGUGGGGAGCAAACAGGAUUAGAUACCCUGGUAGUCCACGCCGUAAACGAUGUCGAUUUGGAGGUUGUGCCCUUGAGGCGUGGCUUCCGGAGCUAACGCGUUAAAUCGACCGCCUGGGGAGUACGGCCGCAAGGUUAAAACUCAAAUGAAUUGACGGGGGCCCGCACAAGCGGUGGAGCAUGUGGUUUAAUUCGAUGCAACGCGAAGAACCUUACCUGGUCUUGACAUCCACAGAACUUUCCAGAGAUGGAUUGGUGCCUUCGGGAACUGUGAGACAGGUGCUGCAUGGCUGUCGUCAGCUCGUGUUGUGAAAUGUUGGGUUAAGUCCCGCAACGAGCGCAACCCUUAUCCUUUGUUGCCAGCGGUUAGGCCGGGAACUCAAAGGAGACUGCCAGUGAUAAACUGGAGGAAGGUGGGGAUGACGUCAAGUCAUCAUGGCCCUUACGACCAGGGCUACACACGUGCUACAAUGGCAUAUACAAAGAGAAGCGACCUCGCGAGAGCAAGCGGACCUCAUAAAGUAUGUCGUAGUCCGGAUUGGAGUCUGCAACUCGACUCCAUGAAGUCGGAAUCGCUAGUAAUCGUAGAUCAGAAUGCUACGGUGAAUACGUUCCCGGGCCUUGUACACACCGCCCGUCACACCAUGGGAGUGGGUUGCAAAAGAAGUAGGUAGCUUAACCUUCGGGAGGGCGCUUACCACUUUGUGAUUCAUGACUGGGGUGAAGUCGUAACAAGGUAACCGUAGGGGAACCUGCGGUUGGAUCACCU
rnacentral:rRNA from 1 species